rnacentral:Y_RNA from 1 species
GUCUGGUCCCAAGGUAGUGAGUUAUCUCAAUCGACUGUUCAGUCAGUUACAGAUCAAUCUCCUUGUUCUACUCUUUCCCUCCUUCCACUACUCCACUUGACUAGUCUAAA